rnacentral:lncRNA from 1 species
GUUCUUAGGGUCGGGUUCUUAUAUUCCGCUAAAAAUCCACCACUCCAAGAACCUCCAUUAAUCAUGCUCUUAUAACUUACAUCACCGAAUUUGGACUAUAAUCGAAUUUCAAUACCUUCAAACUGUCUCGCUAAGUCUAAUGUUGUGAUUGGCGUCCAAAAAGAGAAGCGUAUUUGUGGUAUGGAGAGAGAAAAAACGCAUAUGUUACCACACAUAUGUUACCAAUCAAGAAAAAAUUGAAUAACCCAACAGUAACCGAUCAAA